rnacentral:rRNA from 1 species
AGAGUUUGAUCAUGGCUCAGGACGAACGCUGGCGGCGUGCCUAAUACAUGCAAGUCGAGCGAAGUGGAGGGAGCUUGCUCCCAAAGCUUAGCGGCGAACGGGUGAGUAACACGUAGGCAACCUGCCCGAUAGACCGGGAUAACUUGGGGAAACUCAAGCUAAUACCGGAUAGGAUUUCAGACCGCAUGGUCUGAAAUGGAAAGUCUGAACGACACUAUCGGAUGGGCCUGCGGCGCAUUAGCUAGUUGGUGGGGUAAUGGCCUACCAAGGCGACGAUGCGUAGCCGACCUGAGAGGGUGACCGGCCACACUGGGACUGAGACACGGCCCAGACUCCUACGGGAGGCAGCAGUAGGGAAUCUUCCACAAUGGGCGAAAGCCUGAUGGAGCAACGCCGCGUGAGUGAUGAAGGUUUUCGGAUCGUAAAACUCUGUUGUUAGGGAAGAACACCCGGGAGAGGAUCCCGGUUUGACGGUACCUGACGAGAAAGCCCCGGCUAACUACGUGCCAGCAGCCGCGGUAAUACGUAGGGGGCAAGCGUUGUCCGGAAUUAUUGGGCGUAAAGCGCGCGCAGGCGGCUUAUUAAGUCUGAUGUGAAAGCCCACGGCUCAACCGUGGAGGGCCAUUGGAAACUGGUAAGCUUGAGUGCAGGAGAGGAGAGCGGAAUUCCUGGUGUAGCGGUGAAAUGCGUAGAUAUCAGGAGGAACACCCGUGGCGAAGGCGGCUCUCUGGCCUGUAACUGACGCUGAGGCGCGAAAGCGUGGGGAGCAAACAGGAUUAGAUACCCCCGUAGUCC